UACGAAGGGGGCUAGCGUUGUUCGGAAUUACUGGGCGUAAAGCGCACGUAGGCGGAUGUUUAAGUCGGGGGUGAAAUCCCAGGGCUCAACCCUGGAACUGCCUUCGAUACUGGACGUCUUGAGUCCGAGAGAGGUGAGUGGAAUUCCGAGUGUAGAGGUGAAAUUCGUAGAUAUUCGGAAGAACACCAGUGGCGAAGGCGGCUCACUGGCUCGGAACUGACGCUGAGGUGCGAAAGCGUGGGGAGCAAACAGG
rnacentral:rRNA from 1 species